GACGGCGGGGCCUGAGAAGACGACGGCGACGUCCGGCGAGGUGGCGGCGGAUCUGGGCGGCGUCUGGCGAGGCAGCGGCAGAUCUGGGAGGCGCGGCGUGGCUGCGCAGGAGGUGCGGCUCGUUGGAGAGGAAGGAGAGGUGGAGCUGUUGUGCUGCGCGGCAGAGGAAGAAGGAGAGGUGGAGCUGCUGUGCUGCGCGGCAGGAGGAGGAAGCUGAGGAGCGGCUUGGUCUCCAACGGUCUGUGGUGCUGCGGGAGGAGAAGAGGAGAAGGGUAGUGGAGAAGGGCAGCUCCUUGUUGUGCUGCUGUGUGUGCGUGUGUCUGCAGGGGACCGGGAGCUGGAGAACUGC
rnacentral:lncRNA from 1 species